ACGCUGGCGGCGUGCCUAACACAUGCAAGUCGAACGGUAACAGGUCCUUCGGGACGCUGACGAGUGGCGCACGGGUGAGUAACGCGUGGAUAUCUGCCUAUUAGUGGGGGACAACUACGGGAAACCGUAGCUAAUACCGCAUAAGCUCUACGGAGGAAAGCAGGGGACCCCUCGGGGCCUUGCGCUGAUAGAUGAGUCCGCGUCUGAUUAGCUAGUUGGUAGGGUAAUGGCUUACCAAGGCGAUGAUCAGUAACUGGUUUGAGAGGAUGAUCAGUCACACUGGAACUGAGACACGGUCCAGACUCCUACGGGAGGCAGCAGUGGGGAAUAUUGCACAAUGGGCGAAAGCCUGAUGCAGCGACGCCGCGUGCGGGAAGAAGGCCUUCGGGUUGUAAACCGCUUUCAAUUGGGAAGAAGAGAUGAGGGCUAAUAUCCCUCUGAUUUGACGGUACCUUUAGAAGAAGCACCGGCUAAUUUCGUGCCAGCAGCCGCGGUAAUACGAAAGGUGCAAGCGUUGUUCGGAUUUACUGGGCGUAAAGAGAUCGUAGGUGGUUUGUUAAGUYGGAUGUGAAAUCCCGGGGCUCAACCCCGGAACUGCAUUCGAUACUGGCAGGCUAGAGUUUGGGAGGGGUAAGCGGAAUUCCGUGUGUAGCAGUGAAAUGCGUAGAUAUACGGAGGAACACCUGAGGCGAASGCGGCUUACUGGACCAAUACUGACACUGAGGAUCGAAAGCGUGGGUAGCAAACAGGAUUAGAUACCCUGGUAGUCCACGCCCUAAACGAUGUCAACUAGCCGUAGCGGGUAUCGACCCCUGCUGUGGCGAAGCUAACGCGAUAAGUUGACCGCCUGGGGAGUACGGUC
rnacentral:rRNA from 1 species